UUUCUAUUAUAAGCAUUUUUAGAUAUAAAAAUUGCUAAUCACUUUUAAACUUUUUUCUUUCUCUCUUACUCUCAAGUUGAUAGGUGAGAUUGUUAUGUGAUCGCUUCCUUACUCACACGUACGUUUCAUUCUUCAGGUUAUAAAUGAGUCUAUAAAUGUGAGAAUCCAACACUUAAAGGAUUUAUCGUAUGAUCCUAUAAGUUACGUU